rnacentral:rRNA from 1 species
GAUGAACGCUGGCGGCGUGCCUAAUACAUGCAAGUCGAGCGAACGGACGAGAAGCUUGCUUCUCUGAUGUUGGCGGCGGACGGGUGAGUAACACGUGGAUAACCUACCUAUAAGACUGGGAUAACUUCGGGAAACCGGAGCUAAUACCGGAUAAUAUUUUGAACCGCAUGGUUCAAAAGUGAAAGACGGUCUUGCUGUCACUUAUAGAUGGAUCCGCGCUGCAUUAGCUAGUUGGUAAGGUAACGGCUUACCAAGGCAACGAUGCAUAGCCGACCUGAGAGGGUGAUCGGCCACACUGGAACUGAGACACGGUCCAGACUCCUACGGGAGGCAGCAGUAGGGAAUCUUCCGCAAUGGGCGAAAGCCUGACGGAGCAACGCCGCGUGAGUGAUGAAGGUCUUCGGAUCGUAAAACUCUGUUAUUAGGGAAGAACAUAUGUGUAAGUAACUGUGCACAUCUUGACGGUACCUAAUCAGAAAGCCACGGCUAACUACGUGCCAGCAGCCGCGGUAAUACGUAGGUGGCAAGCGUUAUCCGGAAUUAUUGGGCGUAAAGCGCGCGUAGGCGGUUUUUUAAGUCUGAUGUGAAAGCCCACGGCUCAACCGUGGAGGGUCAUUGGGAACUGGAAAACUUGAGUGCAGAAGAGGAAAGUGGAAUUCCAUGUGUAGCGGUGAAAUGCGCAGAGAUAUGGAGGAACACCAGUGGCGAAGGCGACUUUCUGGUCUGUAACUGACGCUGAUGUGCGAAAGCGUGGGGAUCAAACAGGAUUAGAUACCCUGGUAGUCCACGCCGUAAACGAUGAGUGCUAAGUGUUAGGGGGUUUCCGCCCCUUAGUGCUGCAGCUAACGCAUUAAGCACUCCGCCUGGGGAGUACGACCGCAAGGUUGAAACUCAAAGGAAUUGACGGGGACCCGCACAAGCGGUGGAGCAUGUGGUUUAAUUCGAAGCAACGCGAAGAACCUUACCAAAUCUUGACAUCCUUUGACCCUUCUAGAGAUAGAAGUUUCCCCUUCGGGGGACAAAGUGACAGGUGGUGCAUGGUUGUCGUCAGCUCGUGUCGUGAGAUGUUGGGUUAAGUCCCGCAACGAGCGCAACCCUUAAGCUUAGUUGCCAUCAUUAAGUUGGGCACUCUAAGUUGACUGCCGGUGACAAACCGGAGGAAGGUGGGGAUGACGUCAAAUCAUCAUGCCCCUUAUGAUUUGGGCUACACACGUGCUACAAUGGACAAUACAAAGGGCAGCGAAACCGCGAGGUCAAGCAAAUCCCAUAAAGUUGUUCUCAGUUCGGAUUGUAGUCUGCAACUCGACUACAUGAAGCUGGAAUCGCUAGUAAUCGUAGAUCAGCAUGCUACGGUGAAUACGUUCCCGGGUCU